rnacentral:rRNA from 1 species
CAAUAGCGUAUAUUAAAGUUGUUGCGGUUAAAAAGCUCGUAGUUGGAUUUCUGUUGAGAACGUCCGGUCCGCACUAUGUGCGUGUAUCUGGUUCGGUCUUGGCAUCCUCUUGAGGAACGUAUCUGCGCUUGAUUGCGUGGAGCGGUAUUCAAGACUUUUACUUUGAGGAAAUUAGAGUGUUCACGGCAGGCAAGCGCCUUGAAUACGUUAGCAUGGAAUAAUAAUAUAGGAUCUUGGUUCUAUUUUGUUGGUUUCUAGGGCUAAGGUAAUGAUUAAUAGGGAUAAUUGGGGGCAUUUGUAUUAACGCGUCAGAGGUGGAAUUCUUGGAUUGCGUUACGACAAACUACUGCGAAAGCAUUUGCCAAGGAUGUUUUCAUUGA